rnacentral:rRNA from 1 species
AACGAACGCUGGCGGCAUGCUUAACACAUGCAAGUCGAACGAGACGUUCGGGUCUAGUGGCGCACGGGUGCGUAACGCGUGGGAACCUGCACUUAGGUUAGGAAUAACUCCCCGAAGGGGGUGCUAAUACCGGUUAAUGUAUUCGGACCAAAGAUUUAUCGCUUUUGGAUGGGCCCGCGUUGGAUUAGCUGGUUGGUAGGGUAAAAGCAUAACAAGGUGACGAUCCAUAGCUGGUCUGAGAGGAUGAUCAACCAGGCUGGGACUGAGACACGGCCCAGACUGCGACGCGAGGCAGCAGUGGGGAAUAUUGUACAAUGAGCGAAAGCCUAGUCAAGCAGUGCCGCGUGAGAGAUGAAGGCCUUAGGGUUGCAAAGCUCUUUUACCCGGGACGAUAAUGACAGUACCGGGAAAAUAAGCUCCGGCUAACUCCGUG